GAUUUAAAUUUGGAAGGCCUGGAAGACAGGAACAAAAGAGAGAGCCCAGAAGCCAGAAGCUGUCACUCCAAAGAGCAGGCUUGACCACUCUGGAAUAUAACCCUCCUGCUUGCUGUAGUUUACACCUCAAAAGCAUACACAAAGUGAGGACCACUUCCAAGCUUGGACACUCCUCUGGCCAACAAUGAGACAUCACAGUGCUACAAACACGUCAGCGGGUGAGGUCCACCAGAUACAGCUUAUUCAGACAACAAAGUGUAAAAAGAUUAACAGAACACAGACUUGAAAAUAAUGCAGGAAGAAGUUUAUGCAAAGGAGAGCCCCUGAGUCUGAACAGCAACCAAAGCAACUUUCACAAACAGAUUUCCAGUGCAGAAAAUGACUUGUAGACCAAAGUCUCUAAGGAAUGCAGAGCUGCAGUCGUGACAGCCUUAAUCUUUUGGUCACAAUCUCUGACAAAAAGACACCAUAUGCCAAGAAUGAUAUUUGAUUGUAGAGGCAGCCAAAAUUGGAGACACUCAUUUCUUUACAUGACUUAUUAAGGAAAAUCAAGACAAUUGUGAUUUGAUCCCAAGGGAAAAAUUCCAGCAAAAGGGAAAGAAGACUUACCUGCAGCGCAUUUAGGAUUCAGUGAUCUGAGUGUCGAGGCAAACACAAACAGCUUGUGCAGGGAUAGGACAAUUGUCAGUUCUAGAAAGAAAAAAUAAAUAAGAGGAAAAAUACUUCAGAGCCAAUUUAUGCUUUUCUUCUCUUGUCACCAAAGAUACAGAGUUCAGCUUGGGAUCUCCUCCACAUUUGCUGCAGCCCAUGAUCCAGAGAGAUGCACAGUGAGUCAUGUGCUCCACCACCAAGAUGUUCUCCUUUAAAUUCAGUCUUUGGUACAUCCAGUCACAAGUUGAGGUUUGAGGUGCCUUGGGCUGCAGAGCAUCUCCAUUACUGCUCUGUUGCAGAAGAAAGCCCUCAGAACCUGGCCUUGAUGUUUUAUUUCUUUUUUCUCCUCAUUCUAUGUGAGUAUCAUUUCUGUUUGUGCUUUAUCCCCAUGGCAACUUGUUAAUCAAUAACAAAAUUGUAUAAUAAUCAAUAUAUCAAU
ensembl:lncRNA